UCUCUCUCUCCUCAGAAAACCUCUCUCUCUCUCCCUCUCUCUCUCUCUCUCUCUCUCUCUCUCUCUCUCUCCUCUGCGUAUUACUGUUGCCGACGACGCAGGAGUACUUUCCGGCCACCAUUUUUAGCCACGCGCCGGACCGUUGGAUUCAGAGGCCUCCGAACUAUCGACCCACGCGGGAAUCUAGAGCUCACUCGCCGAUUAAACGCCUCAACCACUCGAUUUAAGUUCGGCCACCCCGCGACUUCAAAGUUGCGAUUCGGCCACCUCGGGCAUCCGUUUGCCGAUCCGUCACCACCAUCGUGCUCCUCGUGUUGUGGGCUUCAAAACCCAAUAACUUUUUCCUACAUCUACCAUAGUUGGGUGGUGGGCCCACCACGAGCCACCGCGAUCCACCGUAGACCGACGGUCGAAACUUAGUGUUCGAGGUUCCGAAGUACGUUUUGAGUCUCAGAAAAUCAUCGUUUGACUUGUUGUGGAACCCGAUCAUUUUGGAUUUGUAUGGAUUUGAUUGAUUGACUCUUGGUGAGCCGUUUUAAAAUAAGCUAAGGACCUAAGGUGUGGCUUUAGCUGUUGAGCAACUUGUGGAGCACGGACUCAGUAGCAAUGCAAUAGUGGUUUAGAGUUUUCAUAUGGCUGCCUUAAAUUUAAAGUAUUCAUACGUGUAAUAAUUUCUUCUAAUAAGUUUAUAUAAAAGAUUUAAAUUUUUCUGUAUUUCUUCGUAUCAUUUUAUUUAAUUCUUUUGGUCAAGUGCCUUACAUACUCGUAAACCCUAGAAUUACGAGUAUGUGGCAGACGUACCCUACCUUAGGGACGUUA